rnacentral:lncRNA from 1 species
ACUAAGUGCUUAGUGAGGUUACUCUAGAGGAAAGUCAGCCCUAAAGGUUUCCUACAUUUCCUGUGGCACUAGCAAAAGGGUGAUACUUCAACAUUUCAUAGUAGCUAUAACAUUCUCACUAAGGAAUGAAUUUAAACCUAUGUAUUCAUGCCGCUGUGUGGGAACCCAUCACUUUAAGUCGUAGGCUCCAGUGAUGAGUAGCAGGGAGAUCCCAAGUGGCUGUGAGCUUUUCACAAUCCACUCUCAGAUAAAAAUGUUGCUUGGCGAUGUGAAAGCUGAGCUGGUUUAGCUCAUUGUCCAGAAUGUAGAUUUUUGCCUCAGACAACAUAGAGCAGGAAGCUGUAACUGAUGUUUGCUGUUUGGGAAGUACCAGGCCACUACAUACUGCAUAUGUAUAAAGGAAACAUCAUUAGUAUCCCUUUGAGAGAUACACAUUCUACAGCUGGUCAAAAGAGCAUUGGAGUUAUACAAAUCACAGGGAGCAUGGAGGCCUAAGGCUUUCUGAGAUACUUUCUAGCAGAGUGUUUGUCUUUCUGUCACGAAACACUUCAAACACAAAGCAAAAAAAGAAAAAAAAAAGAAAAGAAGAGAAAAGAAAAGAAAAACACAAGCCUUCAUCACACUGGCUUAACGAUUAAUAUGCUACCAUGUUCAUUUCAUCUCAUUCUUUCUAGUUGACAUCUUAUUGAGGGAUAGGUGUUCUAAAAACAAAGGAGAGGUGAGAGAGAUGACUUGUGGUUAAAAGCUCUGUCUCAUCUUCUAGAGGACACAGCUCAGUUCUCAGCAUCCAUACUGGACACAUCACAACUGUCUUGAGAACCCAUGCUCCUACACACACAUUCACACAUAGGUGCACACAUAAGCAUCAUUGAAAUAAUAAAAAUAUCUUUUGAAAGGAUAUUUGAGCUUUUGCUUUCUGUUUUAUUUCUCCUUUUGAAGAGUCUCACUGAGUUCCCCAGGUCGGUCUUGAAUGCAUUCUGCAGCCCAGGCAGGCGUUGACCUUACUGCUCUCUUGCAUUAGCCUUCAGGUAACUGGGGUUACAAAGCCUUAGACACAAAGCACAACCCUAUUCUUUAACUCUUCUGUACUUAAAAAUGACUACACUUAAUGAUUCAUGUGUGUGUGUGUGUGUGUGUGUGUGUGUGUGUGUGUGUGUGUGAACAGCAGGACACUAGAGUACUCCUGUGCUUAUGUGCAGUCAGAGGACAGCUUGCUGGAAGCAGCUGGCGCCUUCCACUAUGUGGGCCCCACAGUUAGAACUCAGGUCCUUAGGCUUAAAGACGAUUUCCUUUACCUACUGAGCCAUCUUGCCUGCCCCCUGUUUCUUUCUUUCUUUAUUUUCUUAGAGGUUUGCUUUAUUUUAUGUAUACAUGAGUGCCUGUAUGUGUAUCAUGUACCACAUGUGUGCCUGGUGCCUACAGAGGCUAGAAGAGGGUGUCCAACCCCCUGGAACUGGAUCUACAGGUGAUUGUAAGCUGCCAGGUGAGUGCUGGAAACCAAAACCAUGUUCUCUGCAAGAGCAGCAAGUAUACCACUAUACCUGGCUGGCUUGAGUGGAGCCAUUGGACAGGAUGGCUGAUGGCUUCGACUCAUGAAUCUAUGAAUAGAAAACCCUUAUUUUGUAUACAAUGCAGUGAUACCUCUAUAAGUUACACUUUGUUCUAUUCAGUUUAUUUUAUGUCCUCGUUAGCAAAUGCUGUCUAUGGGAUUUUUCUCAACUCGACUCAUUAAGACUGUUUUUCUAACUACCAGGAACCCAAAACACCAAAGUGACCUCCAGACAGUAACAUGAGAAUAAUACAGGAUACUUGAAAACGUCAAAAUAAAGGUUGAGUAUUGGUAGUCAUGUCAGUAAGUCCCAGAUUAGCCAACACUACAUCGUGAGAUCCCGUCUCC